UGGGCCAGAAUCCUGGGCUGCAGCUGAACCCCAGCUGGGGGGAGGGGCAACGAGGGGUCGGUCGUUGCCAGCAAGGGUUCCUGCUUCGCCUCACCCAGGAGAACCAAUGCAGCAGGUGGCAAUGGACCACUGUCUGCAGGGGAAAUCCCUG